CCUACGGGAGGCAGCAGUGAGGAAUAUUGGUCAAUGGACGAGAGUCUGAACCAGCCAAGUAGCGUGAAGGAUGACUGCCCUAUGGGUUGUAAACUUCUUUUAUAUGGGAAUAAAAUGUUCCACGUGUGGGAUUUUGUAUGUACCAUAUGAAUAAGGAUCGGCUAACUCCGUUCCAGCAGCCGCGGUAAUACGGAUGAUCCGAGCGUUAUCCGGAUUUAUUGGGUUUAAAGGGAGCGUAGGUGGAUUGUUAAGUCAGUUGUGAAAGUUUGCGGCUCAACCGUAAAAUUGCAGUUGAAACUGGCAGUCUUGAGUACAGUAGAGGUGGGCGGAAUUCGUGGUGUAGCGGUGAAAUGCUUAGAUAUCACGAAGAACUCCGAUUGCGAAGGCAGUUCACUGGACUGCAACUGACACUGAGGCUCGAAAGUGUGGGUAUCAAACAGGAUUAGAUACCCCUGUAGUC
rnacentral:rRNA from 1 species